rnacentral:lncRNA from 1 species
GGGGCGAGAUCCAAUGGUCAGGGUGAGUUGCUGGUUGAGAGUUGAAACAGAAUUGAUUCUUUAGCACCAUCCAAAGAUCCAAAUCCAAUCUGAAGCCCAAUCCAACAGCCAGCAUCAUUCCCGACUUGAUUUAGAAUUGUUUUUGGUGUGGUUUGGGUGGUUGGAUCAUGAUCUGAUGGUCAAAAAUUAUUUUCUCACAUGGGAUGC